UACGUAGGGGGCAAGCGUUGUCCGGAUUUAUUGGGCGUAAAGAGCGUGUAGGCGGCCACACAGGUCAGCUGUGAAAACUCGAGGCUCAACCUCGAGACGUCGGUUGAAACCGUAUGGCUAGAGUCCGGAAGAGGAGAGUGGAAUUCCCGGUGUAGCGGUGAAAUGCGCAGAUAUCGGGAGGAACACCGGUGGCGAAGGCGGUUCUCUGGGCCUGUACUGACGCUGAGGAGCGAAAGCGUGGGGAGCAAACAGG
rnacentral:rRNA from 1 species